rnacentral:rRNA from 1 species
GAUGAACGCUGGCGGCGUGCCUAAUACAUGCAAGUCGAGCGAACAGACGAGGAGCUUGCUCCUCUGACGUUAGCGGCGGACGGGUGAGUAUCACGUGGAUAACCUACCUAUAAGACUGGGAUAACUUCGGGAAACCGGAGCUAAUACCGGAUAAUAUAUUGAACCGCAUGGUUCAAUAGUGAAAGACGGUUUUGCUGUCACUUAUAGAUGGAUCCGCGCCGCAUUAGCUAGUUGGUAAGGUAACGGCUUACCAAGGCAACGAUGCGUAGCCGACCUGAGAGGGUGAUCGGCCACACUGGAACUGAGACACGGUCCAGACUCCUACGGGAGGCAGCAGUAGGGAAUCUUCCACAAUGGGCGAAAGCCUGACGGAGCAACGCCGCGUGAGUGAUGAAGGUCUUCGGAUCGUAAAACUCUGUUAUUAGGGAAGAACAAAUGUGUAAGUAACUAUGCACGUCUUGACGGUACCUAAUCAGAAAGCCACGGCUAACUACGUG